ACAUUUCAAUUGUCUUGAAUUCUUGUAUAAUACCUCACGUGCCAAAGUCACGUGCAACCAAUAACACCACUAAUGUGGUUGUAAUAAGCCAGCCCCUCCCCCUUUUUCAUUUCCGUUACUUUCCAUGCUAGAGUCCCGGAUCUUAUCUCGGUCAUUUCCUAGUCUCGGUCAUUUCCUAGUCUCGGUCAUUUCCUAGUCUCGGUCACUCGUUCUCUGCCAAAUAGCUGCAGCCAGACCUAGCUGCUACGCUAGCGUCAUAGUCCUACUGGAUAGCAACUAGGUAGAGCGGGCCACGUCAGCAUCCGUCGUAACGUUGCUGCUGUAGAACUUGAAACUGAUCGCACCUAUUCUCGGUCACAGAGUAUCAUAUCUCGGUCACAGAGUAUCAUAUCUCGGCUCCUUAUAUGACUUCCUUUCGCCAAAUUGUUGGUUUUGUCUUGUCAACAUCUACUCGCGCAGACAACGAAGAAGACGGAUGACUCACGGGACAUAAUCUCGGUCACCUGAUCUCGAGUGAUUUUCUCUCUUCAGACGCAGAUCUGAGGCGUUCUUUUGGCUCAUGUUAUAGUCAUCACCGCUGGCUACUAUACCUACGGGGUGACGUUAGUGCUCAUCGUGCUGUUGUUACGGCAGAACGUGAAAUGUGAGAGACAAAUACUCGGACAUCCGGGAUCAUAUCUCGGUCAGUCGCUUUCGUCGCGUUUCUACAAGACGAAUUGAGAUGUUAGUCAUGUCUGUUGAAAGGUUCGCUUUGGAUGUUUAUGCCACUGAAUAGCCAGUUUUGUCUCUUCAGUUUUUCUGUUGCAGGGCGGUGGGAAAGGUGAUCGACCUACGGGACAUAAUCUCGGUCACGGUAUGAGCGCACUUCUUGGGUUCUACAGCUUUCAGAUUGAUCAUCAUGGAGAUAAACAUUGAAUCCAUUCUGGCACAAGUUGAAUGGUCACAAAAGCAUGCCAGGACUCUGCAUACUUGUAAACUGUGUACGUACUAUGAUCUUGUUGAUUGUACAAGAUUUUAGCUACUUCAGUUA